GAGGAAAAGAAACCAACCGGGAUUGCCUUAGUAACGGCGAGUGAAGCGGCAAAAGCUCAAAUUUGAAAUCUGGUACCUUCGGUGCCCGAGUUGUAAUUUGGAGAGGGCAACUUUGGGGCCGUUCCUUGUCUAUGUUCCUUGGAACAGGACGUCAUAGAGGGUGAGAAUCCCGUGUGGCGAGGAGUGCGGUUCUUUGUAAAGUGCCUUCGAAGAGUCGAGUUGUUUGGGAAUGCAGCUCUAAGUGGGUGGUAAAUUCCAUCUAAAGCUAAAUAUUGGCGAGAGACCGAUAGCGAACAAGUACAGUGAUGGAAAGAUGAAAAGAACUUUGAAAAGAGAGUGAAAAAGUACGUGAAAUUGUUGAAAGGGAAGGGCAUUUGAUCAGACAUGGUGUUUUGUGCCCUCUGCUCCUUGUGGGUAGGGGAAUCUCGCAUUUCACUGGGCCAGCAUCAGUUUUGGUGGCAGGAUAAAUCCAUAGGAAUGUAGCUUGCCUCGGUAAGUAUUAUAGCCUGUGGGAAUACUGCCAGCUGGGACUGAGGACUGCGACGUAAGUCAAGGAUGCUGGCAUAAUGGUUAUAUGCCGCCCGUCUUGA
rnacentral:rRNA from 1 species